AGACCGAUAGCGAACAAGUAGAGUGAUCGAAAGAUGAAAAGCACUUUGGAAAGAGAGUUAAAAAGCACGUGAAAUUGUUGAAAGGGAAGCGCUUGCAACCAGACUUCGCGGCGGUGUUCCGCCGGUCUUUUGACCGGUCUACUCGCCGCCGCGAGGCCAACAUCGUCUGGGGCCGCCGGAUAAGACCGUGGGAAUGUGGCUCCCUCGGGAGUGUUAUAGCCCACGGUGAUGCGGCGUGUCCCGGGCGAGGUCCGCGCUUCGGCAAGGAUGUUGGCGUAAUGGUUGCCAGCGGCCCGUCUUGAAACACGGACCAAG
rnacentral:rRNA from 1 species